rnacentral:rRNA from 1 species
UACGUAGGGGGCUAGCGUUGUCCGGAAUCAUUGGGCGUAAAGAGCGUGUAGGCGGCUCGGUAAGUCCGCUCUGAAAGCCCGGGGCUCAACCCCGGGAGGCGGGCGGAUACUGUCGGGCUAGAGUCCGGAAGAGGCGAGUGGAAUUCCUGGUGUAGCGGUGAAAUGCGCAGAUAUCAGGAGGAACACCGGUGGCGAAGGCGGGUCUCUGGGCCGAUACUGACGCUGGGGAGCGAAAGCGUGGGGAGCGAACAGG